CGGGGUGAGUACAACAUAGGAAAUCUGCCUUAGGGUGGGGGACAACAGAGGGGAAACUUCUGCUAAUACCCCAUAUGAGCUUGGUUGAAAUACCAAUCUUGAAAGUUCCGGCGCCCUAAGAUGAGCCUGUGCCUGAUUAGCUAGUUGGUGGUGUAAUGGACUACCAAGGCGACGAUCAGUAGCUGGUUUGAGAGGAUGAUCAGCCACAAUGGGACUGAGACACGGCCCAUACUCCUACGGAAGGCAGCAG
rnacentral:rRNA from 1 species